AGGGUUCGAUUCUGGCUCAGGACGAACGCUGGCGGCGUGCCUAACACAUGCAAGUCGAACGGAGAUUUGAGAGCUUGCUUUCAAAUCUUAGUGGCGGACGGGUGAGUAACGCGUGAGUAACCUGCCUCUCAGAGGGGGAUAACGUUUUGAAAAGAACGCUAAUACCGCAUGACAUUCCUUUCUCGCAUGGGGAGGGAAUCAAAGGAGCAAUCCGCUGAGAGAUGGACUCGCGUCCGAUUAGCCAGUUGGCGGGGUAACGGCCCACCAAAGCGACGAUCGGUAGCCGGACUGAGAGGUUGAACGGCCACAUUGGGACUGAGACACGGCCCAG
rnacentral:rRNA from 1 species